UGUUUCGGCUAGGGGGCCAUCCCGGCUUACCAACCCGAUGCAAACUGCGAAUACCGGAGAAUGUUAUCACGGGAGACACACGGCGGGUGCUAACGUCCGUCGUGAAGAGGGAAACAACCCAGACCGCCAGCUAAGGUCCCAAAGUCAUGGUUAAGUGGGAAACGAUGUGGGAAGGCCCAGACAGCCAGGAUGUUGGCUUAGAAGCAGCCAUCAUUUAAAGAAAGCGUAAUAGCUCACUGGUCGAGUCGGCCUGCGCGGAAGAUGUAACGGGGCUAAACCAUGCACCGAAGCUGCGGCAGCGACGCUGAUGCGUUGUUGGGUAGGGGAGCGUUCUGUAAGCCUGCGAAGGUGGCCUGUGAGGGUUGCUGGAGGUAUCAGAAGUGCGAAUGCUGACAUAAGUAACGAUAAAGCGGGUGAAAAGCCCGCUCGCCGGAAGACCAAGGGUUCCUGUCCAACGUUAAUCGGGGCAGGGUGAGUCGACCCCUAAGGCGAGGCCGAAAGGCGUAGUCGAUGGGAAACGGGUUAAUAUUCCCGUACUUGGUGUUACUGCGAAGGGGGGACGGAGAAGGCUAUGUUGGCCGGGCGACGGUUGUCCCGG
rnacentral:rRNA from 1 species